GAUGAACGCUAGCGGGAGGCCUAACACAUGCAAGCCGAGCGGUAUUGUUUCUUCGGAAAUGAGAGAGCGGCGUACGGGUGCGGAACACGUGUGCAACCUGCCUUUAUCUGGGGGAUAACCUUUCGAAAGGAAGAUUAAUACUCCAUAACAUAUUGAUUGGCAUCAAUUAAUAUUGAAAGCUCCGGCGGAUAGAGAUGGGCACGCGCAAGAUUAGCUAGUUGGUGAGGUAACGGCUCACCAAGGCGAUGAUCUUUAGGGGGCCUGAGAGGGUGAUCCCCCACACUGGUACUGAGACACGGACCAGACUCCUACGGGAGGCAGCAGUGAGGAAUAUUGGUCAAUGGGUGCAAGCCUGAACCAGCCAUCCCGCGUGAAGGACGACUGCCCUAUGGGUUGUAAACUUCUUUUGUAUAGGGAUAAACCUACCCUCGUGAGGGUAGCUGAAGGUACUAUACGAAUAAGCACCGGCUAACUCCGUGCCAGCAGCCGCUGUAACAC
rnacentral:rRNA from 1 species